rfam:Helianthus annuus linkage group 3, whole genome shotgun sequence.
CAUUGUGGUUCAUAUCAGCAGCAGAGGAACCUAACUGAGAAGAAAACGUUGAGGUAAAAGCUCUUCCGGUUGCAUCUGGAA